rnacentral:rRNA from 1 species
UAUUAAUAAGGCUAGACCGGCGCACGGGUGCGUAACACGUAUGCAACCUACCUUAUACUGGGGAAUAACUUCGAGAAAUCGGCGCUAAUACCCCAUAACAUUGCGAAAUGGCAUCAUUUUGCAAUUAAAGCUCCGGCGGUAUAAGAUGGGCAUGCGUCCAAUUAGCUAGUUGGUGAGGUAACUGCUCACCAAGGCUACGAUUGGUAGGGGUUCUGAGAGGAUGAUCCCCCACACUGGUACUGAGACACGGACCAGACUCCUACGGGAGGCAGCAGUGAGGAAUAUUGCGCAAUGGACGAAAGUCUGACGCAGCCAUGCCGCGUGCAGGAUGACGGCCCUAUGGGUUGUAAACUGCUUUUGUAUGGGAAUAAACCCUUCUACGUGUAGAAGGCUGAAGGUACCAUAAGAAUAAGCACCGGCUAACUCCGUGCCAGCAGCCGCGGUAAUACGGAGGGUGCAAGCGUUAUCCGGAUUUAUUGGGUUUAAAGGGUCCGU